rnacentral:rRNA from 1 species
UACGUAGGGUGCAAGCGUUAAUCGGAAUUACUGGGCGUAAAGCGUGCGCAGGCGGUGAUGUAAGUCAGUUGUGAAAUCCCCGGGCUCAACCUGGGAACUGCAUCUGUGACUGCAUUGCUGGAGUGCGGCAGAGGGGGAUGGAAUUCCGCGUGUAGCAGUGAAAUGCGUAGAUAUGCGGAGGAACACCGAUGGCGAAGGCAAUCCCCUGGGCCUGCACCGACGCUCAUGCACGAAAGCGUGGGGAGCAAACAGG